rnacentral:rRNA from 1 species
AGAAGCGAACCUGCGAAGGCAAGCGGAUCUCUUAAAGCCGUUCUCAGUUCGGACUGUAGGCUGCAACUCGCCUACACGAAGCUGGAAUCGCUAGUAAUCGCGGAUCAGCACGCCGCGGUGAAUACGUUCCCGGGCCUUGUACACACCGCCCGUCACACCAUGAGAGUCUGUAACACCCAAAGCCGGUGGGAUGACCUUUAUAGGAGUCAGCCGUCUAAGGUAGGACAGAUGAUUAGGGUGAAGUCGUAACAAGGUAAC